AGAGAAACAGCUCAGUGGUAGAGCACAUGCUUAGCAUGCAUGAGGUCCUGGGUUCAAUCCCCAGUUCCUCCA
rnacentral:tRNA from 1 species